rnacentral:rRNA from 1 species
UACGUAGGGGGCAAGCGUUAUCCGGAUUUACUGGGUGUAAAGGGAGCGUAGACGGCGUGCCAAGUCUGAUGUGAAAGGCCGGGGCUCAACCCCGGGACUGCAUUGGAAACUGGCAUGCUGGAGUGCCGGAGGGGCAAGCGGAAUUCCUAGUGUAGCGGUGAAAUGCGUAGAUAUUAGGAGGAACACCGGUGGCGAAGGCGGCUUGCUGGACGGUAACUGACGUUGAGGCUCGAAAGCGUGGGGAGCAAACA